UGGCCUUUGUCACUUUUGCGAUUGGUGCAGGCAUUUCCUCAAGAAAAGCACCUGAGCACUUGCUGCUGAUAUUUGCUGCUCGAUCCAAUGUUGCGAUGAUUAAGCGAGCAAGCACCACGGCGGUGGUGUUGGUGCAAAGCCCCUACCUAACGUGCAUUAUAUUUCUUUCAGCAGAUGGAUGCUAGUGAAAAAACAAUUAAUAAAAAAAGAGAUAGACUUCCCUGUCAUGCAAUUGCUGUCUCCACAACACAAGAACGUCCGACAGGUCGUGCAGGGCUCUACGUGGAAAAGACCCGCCGUUGUUAGCGUUCC
rnacentral:lncRNA from 1 species